AUUGAACGCUGGCGGCAGGCCUAACACAUGCAAGUCGAACGGUAACAGGAAGCAGCUUGCUGCUUUGCUGACGAGUGGCGGACGGGUGAGUAAUGUCUGGGAAACUGCCUGAUGGAGGGGGAUACCUACUGGAAACGGUAGCUAAUACCGCAUAACGUCGCAAGACCAAAGAGGGGGACCUUCGGGCCUCUUGCCAUCGGAUGUGCCCAGAUGGGAUUAGCUAGUAGGUGGGGUAACGGCUCACCUAGGCGACGAUCCCUAGCUGGUCUGAGAGGAUGACCAGCCACACUGGAACUGAGACACGGUCCAGACUCCUACGGGAGGCAGCAGUGGGGAAUAUUGCACAAUGGGCGCAAGCCUGAUGCAGCCAUGCCGCGUGUAUGAAGAAGGCCUUCGGGUUGUAAAGUACUUUCAGCGGGGAGGAAGGGAGUAAAGUUAAUACCUUUGCUCAUUGACGUUACCCGCAGAAGAAGCACCGGCUAACUCCGUG
rnacentral:rRNA from 1 species